GCAAAUGUUUCUGUAAGUUUAAAACCGUUCUGUGUAUCUGUACAAAAAGUUUUUCGGUACCUGGCGAGAAAUCGCUGUUUAUGUAUGCGUAAAGUUUAAGGAUGUUUACAGGAAAGUUUUCAUGCUUUUAGGGUAGCCCUGUUUAGACAACACGACUUAUUGACAGUCAUCUUUAGCGUUUUGUUCUUGAGCUCCUGAAAAUUCAAUGAGACAGCUAGAAACACAGUUCUAGUUUUGUGUUUUAAAAUGCCCUUUCAGAAUCUUUAAAUAAAAAAUGUGAUUUUAAGAGCUCCCUGUAGUUUAUCCACGCGGUUGAUUCAGGUAUUAAAAAUUAACAUGCGUCUGAAGUCAGUAACCUCUUUGCACACGAUAGCAACCCACUGGAGCAAGGAACAUUAGCUGCGAGAUGGACAAGAGCAACACGGUGAAGCUCUUUGUGGGCAACCUGGCUCUGGACACCAGCCAGGAGGAGCUGUCGGCCAUCUUCGAGCCGUACGGGCAGGUGGUGAGCUGCAGCGUGCUGAGGCAGUUCGCCUUCGUGCACCUGCAGGGUGAGGGCGCCGCCCAGCGCGCCAUCAAGGAGCUGAACGGCCGCGAGUUCCGCGGCCGCAACCUGGUGGUAGAGGAGUCGCGCGGGCGGCCGCUGCACUCCACCAAGGUGUUUGUGGGAAACCUGAGCGGCAUGUGUACCACCGAGGACCUGCAGGAGCUGUUCCAGACCUUCGGCAAGGUGCUGGAGUGCGACAAGGUCAAAGCCAGGCGCUCCUCCUCCGCAGGUUACGCCUUCGUGCACAUGGAGAACAAGGAGGACGCCCUACAGGCCAUCGAGGCUCUCCACGGCACCUCCUUCAAGGGCCGGCCGCUGUCCGUGGAGCUGUCCAAGGUGCAGCCCAGCAAGCAGACGCCCACGGGCAAGAUCCCUUGUGUCAGCUGCGGGAAGCAGGGUCACUACGCCGGGGAGUGCCCCAUGGGGAAGCCCACGCUGGAGCAGUACCAGAGCCAGGCCGCUGUGCUGGCCGCCGCGGCCGCCGCUGCUGCGGGACUCCCGCUGCAGGUGCAGCAGAGCGUCCACAACUCGGUCUACAACACGUCCAGCUUCGACCCCACCUACGCCGCCCUCACGGGCCUGACCUCGGGGACGCGCUCGGACGGCACACCCGUCAGCCCCGCCGUGUACGGCGCGCUGGCCAGCCAGGUGUACGGCACGGUCGCCAACCAGCUCUACGGCUCGGUGGCCAACCAGGCGCUGACCUCGGCCGCCACGCAGGUGUACAGCUCCAUGAGCGCCCCUGGCCAUAUUCAGGUGACCAACAGCGCCGCUGAUGCUGUCGCCGCCACCUACGGUUACACCCCGGGCGUGGCCAGCCCUGUGUACCUGAGCGCGCCGGGUGAGGCGGCGGCGGGCGUGAACCCGGCCUACGGCGCGGCGCUGUACGGCGCCACGCCCGACCCCGCGGCGCAGGCCAUCUUCGAGGCGGCGCGGGCGCACUACUUCGCGCAGGGCCAGCAGGUGCUGGCCGAGCAGCAGGCCGGCUCCAAGACGGCCGACAGGGACCGCAGCCCGGUUCGCCGCUCCGCCCCGCUGCUGCCCGACCCCGUCCCCAAACCCUUCCAGCGGCCCAAACGCCGGGCGCUGCUGCCCACGCCCACCGCCCGGCCGGAGGACACGCCCGCUGCCGCCGCCGCCGCAGAGGAGGACCCCAUGGCGAGGUACUAUGCAGAGUACUACCAACAGUACCAACAGUACCAGCAGUAUCCCCAGUACCAGUACGCCUACCCUCCCCCGAACCCGAUGCCCGCUGUGCCAGGCCAGCCCGCGGCCCCGCCUGACACCACGCCUGCCCCUGCCGCCGCCGCCGCCGCCUCACCCAGAGUGUAUGAACCGCCGCCCCCGUCUCGCAGGGAGCCCCUCCUCCGCCGCCCCGACCUCCCCCACCUUCACACGCCAGAGCCCCCUUUCCGAUAGUCACCUCUGCCCCGCCUCUCCCCCGCGGGGGGGGGGGUGCCGUGUGUGCGUGAGUGCAGGCGUGCGUGUGUGUGUGUGUGUGUGUGUUGGUGUGUGUAAGUAGGAGUGUUUCUCUGUUGGAAGGACUUUACCCCAACCCUGGUGCUCUGGCAGCUCUCCCAGUGCAGUUAAGGCAAUCAGAAGAUGGACACGUUCUCGCACACACGGACACACAUACUCUUACUAGUGAUACAGCUGCUCCUCUUGUGAACAGAAAGUGCUUUUUCUACAGUGAUGUAAAAAUAGAGAGGGCUGCCAGUAACACUCUGUACGAGUCAUAUUAUGUGUUUUUUUUUCUUUGGUACAUCCAGACUUUUGUACAUUUCAGGAGCUGAGAUCCACUGUAAGCCAGUUUGAUGUUUGGAUCGGCUCCUUACAGAAUAUGAAUUCUCCACUUGUAGGGCCUGGGAAUUUAAGCUGUGAACAUACACAGCCAGAACACUUUUUUUUUGUUUCAUCUUUAGUAUUGAGUAUGAUUCCACAGUAAGCCCCCCCCCGCCCCCCCCAAGGCAGCAAGUUAGCCUGUGGGUGACAAGACUACGCAGUGAGGUGUGUAGUUAGUGUAGGACCAGGGUUGGACGAGUGCGUGCCGGAGUGUGGCGAGCGAAUGGGUGUUGCAUCGUGUGAUGUCUCCUGUCCCGUGUUCGCUGAGGGGUUGGGGUGGGGCGAACCGAAGCCCCCCCACACACAGACAGGCGUACACGGCAACAUGUGACCCGUACCCCCCCCCCCGCCAGCACCCCCAUCCGGAAUGCUGAAAGAAACUCUUAUUUUUCUGCCCUUUCACACGCUCUGCAUUUACCUCUGUCUGUGAUGGGGCAGGGGGGUAGCCAAUAGGCAUAGGACAUGGCUCUCUGGUCCAAUCAUCGUUUGGGAUUGAGUGGCCACACACAACCAGAUUAUGUGAAUGGGUUGCCAACCUGUCUAGGUUCACUGUUGGAAGGGAAUGGAGAUUUGUUCAUCAUAAGAGUUUUUUUUUUUUCCUAUUUCUUUUUUUUUUUUUUAAUCCACAUCACCCUGUCACUACUUCGACUUGCAUGAAUGCUUAUCUAGGGGCUUUCCCCUGUUUUUUUUUUUUCUUGAAAAUUUAAUAUUGUCUUUAUGUUGUUGUAAAUGAUAUGUAAGAAGGGACUCAGAAAAAAAAAAAAAAAAAAAAAACGCCACCAGCUGGUCACUCGGACUCGGCCGAGGGUAGGUGUUGAAGCAGGACCAGCUCGAUAUCAGAGGGGUCUCGCCCACACACACACUGCAGUGGUUCAGAUGGAUCAGACGCCAUUUCCCGCAUCGGUAUCACACCCCUUGUAUAUGCAGCUUCAGUCAGCAUCUUAGAUUGCAUCACUCUUCAUGAACAAACUGCGACACAGUGGCAUUGUCAGUGCUUGGGUAUGGUUGCACCGGAUCUGCAUAGCUUUGGUUUUUUCUGUUUUCGUUUUGUAACAUAUUCGUAGUGUAAAAUACAAAAAAGUGUGCUGUUUUGUGACCUUUGCAUUUAAGGACACAAAUGGCACAUAGCAGAUGGUCUUGCCCCCUGGGUUACAAACAUGUACAAAGCAUGCAAGUGGAACUGCUGUUUCUUCGGUUCUCGAAUUUGAGUAACCUCUUCCUUGGGAUACUUAAGCUCUUAUUGGCCAUUUAAAAAAAAAUACAGCAUAAUUACUGCAACUUUGGAAACCCUUGAAACUCCCAAAGAAUGCUUGAAUUGGUGUAUUUUGAUUAACAAUCAUGCUCAAGGUUUUUUUUUUUUUCCUUCAUUAAUAUAGGCGAUAAAGGCAUUCACUUAAAGGUUUGCUUUGGGCUCAGCGUUUAUGGACAUCGGGUACCUUCGAACAAUAUCUAUAAAAAAGCGCAAAACAAAUAGUCGUGCACUGAAGUAGGACUUUUUCCAUUUAAAACACAUUCCAGUACAAGAAAAUCAGUUUUCAUAUUGACUGUGAACACACACUCUGAUACUCUUGUCCGUUAGAAAUAAAUAACCAUAUGUUUCGAUAGCAAAGCUUUCAUCCUCAAUAAAAUUCCGAAUAAUUAAUUAAAUAAAAUUAAAUGUUUUGUUCAUUAGUUUUCCCCCCUAAAUUGUAGUGUGAAGCCUUGUGUGACGAAAUGGUGACAGAAAAAUCUAAAAUAAACUGGAAGUUGCACCAUAUUCUGAAUGUUAACCUGAGCACAGGAAUAUCAUGAGGCUUUGUGUUCUUGUCUCUUCAUUCUCUCUGGUGUAAUCAUGUGAUCUAAUGUGAUCAUGUGGCGUCAUGGUGGCAGAAAGGGUUAAUGGUUCACAUCAGGGCAGUUGCUGCGAAACGCAUUUGGAUCUUGCUGCUUUUGUAGCCAAAGGAUGAAAUGGAUCUACACGAUCAAGAGCUGAGCGUGACAACAUAAAUCACAAAGCUUAGCGUUUUGUGUAAUCACUCUGCAUUCUGUGUUGGCAGACUUACCAGACUAAGAUGUGGAAGGUGGUGGGGGGUGGGAGUGGGAGUGGAAGGGGAUAUCCGUGGAUGCAUUUCUUCUGAUCCUUGCCAUUGCUUGACACUUUCUGUCAAUGGUCUGGCCUCCACCUUGUUCAUGUCUUUCUCUCUCUCUCUCUCUCUCUCUCUCUCUCUCUCUCUCUCUCUCUCUCUCUCUCGGGGUUGUCCUUCCUCUAACUACUGCGGUCGAUAAGAUGGUGAAAACGGUGAGAACAGACACACACACACACGCCUUCCGCCCGCGAGCAGCGUCCUGUUUGUGGCCCUGUUAUCAGUGCACAGUUUCUUUUUAUUAAUACUUUUGGGUUUACUUUACUUAAAAAAAAAAAUAUGCGUAUAUAUAUAUUCAUGAUCUUAUUUUAUGUAUUCACAUUAAGAAAAUAAAGAACGUUCUGACCAGUGUUGUUGUUAGGGCUUGGACAUUUUCCAUUAUUUUGGACUACCUUUGUUUUGUUUUUUUUUUGCCCCCUCUGUAACAAGACCCAUGUUCUUGACAGGGGCUGUCAUUGAGAGAGGAUUAAUACUCGUUUCCAUGGGGAGCUUGGGAGGAAGCACUAGCCCAGAGAUGCGUUCAACUUUGAAAACGGUCAGGAUGUUCUCUCUUUGUGACCGUUAAUAAUGACACUUUAAGCACCCUGUUUAAUUUUGGCAAACACCAGUACAACAGUUGUGCCACAGACUCUCUCUCCAAGCCAUUUGCAUUUUACUUGGCUAAAAGAGAGGAGCGAAUGUUCUAAACCACCCUCAGUUGAACCCAUCAGGGCUGUGGAGUGUAGCUGCCUUGCCGUGCAGACAGACAUGAACACCCGUAGCCCAUUGCUCACGUCAGUCACACGAUAUCCACAGUUGUCUCGGGGCUCCAGCUUGGUGUAUUGGCUUGACUGGUUAGUUUGAUGGGAGGGGGGGUGCUCACCUUUAAGAACACAGGGGCUCUGCCUAGGUCCCGCCGUACCUGUGCCGACUAUUCUGUGGUAGUGCAUGCAUCUGUGCUCUCACUGCUGUUCUAGCCCCUUUCCUGUUCCCCUGUGACUAACUAUUCCAACUGAAAUAGGUCCCAGGCCUCCGGACGCCAUGUGCGUGUGAUGUGGGGGGAAGACAAUUAGCGUCGCGCAGUACCUGGAAGCACUCCCCUCUAAGCUGUGCGGCACACGGCUGCAGGGAAGAUGAGCUGAGGAUGGGGGGUCCCCCUCUUUCUGCUUCAGCCCUGCUGUUGGAGGAGGGAUGGAGGGAGAGGGAUGGAAGGUGAGUAACUGAUGCAUGGAUCACCAGCUCCGGUCAGUCCAUCCCCAUUCCCGAACACCCCCACCCCCCACGCAUACACACACACCAUGAGAGCCCCCACCCCAACGCUGACCCCAGUGGGCGGUGGUCCAGCAGAAUUCAUUGGUGUCCUUAAAAAAACCAGUAGGCUCGUAGAACAUGUUCUCCGUCGUCGGUUUUGCGGCUUGUGAUUUCCGUUUUGGCCUCUGGAGAAACUCCAUUGAGCCAUGAAGGAUUAUAAAUGAAUUGAUUUUUCAACCUGAGGGAGGCUCUGUUGAGCAGUGCUUUUUUCCUGUAGUGGUGUGGGGUCAAGCAGUUUCUCAGAGGUUCCACAAGACUAAAAUUGAUUUUAGUCUGGUUUGUUGGUAACUUUAAUUUUAAACAAGUUAAUGCUAAAGAAGUACUAGACAGCCUAGUUCUACAGCAGUGCCCCUUUUGUGCUCUGAAUUUAAUUAGCAAAUUAUGGUGUAGUCCUUUCUGAGUUUCAGAUUUAGGGUUGAACUGAUGCAUAGCUGGCUGUGACUUCAGUCUCGAAAGUUCCGCAAACUUGGAGUAACCAGGGUCUGCGGCCUGCCAGAGGUGGCACCUAUUUGAAAACUUUGAAUUCAAAGGCCAUUUUGAUGGGUCUCGUGCUCACUGAAUGUCCAGUGUGUCGCGUGUUAAGUUGCUGUUCUUCGUGCCCCAUUGGUGUCCAUACUUAGAGAGAGAGGAAUAAAAACCUUGUUCUGAAAAUAAAGCGGGAGAUCAACACUCCGUGUAUGUCUCUAGGGACGUGUGGUCACCCUUAGCCCUACUCAAGA